UAAAAAUUUUCACAGCCCAAACCU
rnacentral:siRNA from 1 species